CGAAUCCAAAUGACAGUCUUCUCCACAUGCUUUAUUGUGAUUAAAGUUAAACCCGAAAAAAUAAGCUUCAAAAUGGGAAAGGGAGGCAGAGCGCCAUCCUGCAAAUUGCUCUAUCACCUGUGAAGUGCCAUGAAACCAUGAAAGGGCCUUCCUUUUUGAAGCAAAGGAUGAAUAAGGAAAUAUUUCAUCUGUGCUGAGCAUAGAAGAGGAAGUUGGUUUUAAGACACAGAUCACUUAUCUUCUGGAUGAAAGACAGAUCGGAUUUCCAAAACUUCCAUUUUCCCAUUUCAUGUCGUCCGCAAGGAAAACGGCUGAAGAUUUUGAUUCCUGAGAUUCUUCUCUCUGCUGCAAAUCAUGAUGCUUACCCUUAUGGAAAAAUAAAAGAUGGUGUGAGAUGAACCCUGGCCACACUCUCCUUACCGUCUAGAAGUGAAGAUGAGGUUAGAGAGUCUCUACAAUCUCUUUCUUCCAAAGAGCUGUCCUCCAUCGACACCGAACACCUGUAGUUUUAAUACAGCUUCCGCACACAGAGUUUCCUUGCUUUCUCUUGCUUGGAUUUUGGAUUAUAUCAUUACAAGGUAUGGACCUAGGAAAAUGUGGGUGGGAGAGUGUUUGAAGGGGAAGUUGUUGGAAGAGAUGCAAAAGAGAGAAAAGAUCUUCUGGAGGCUCCCAUAAGGUCAGUUAAUUUUCAGUUCAUGUUGUAUUGUUUAUUUGUGAUGGGUGGUUGUCAUCUUUUCAUUAAUAGAAAAAGAAAUUUUGGUUGCAGCCCUAAUGUUUGUGUGUUUGUGUGUGCACGUGCACAUGCUCACACACUGAUGUAGAUUUAUGAGAACAUAGAGGAUAGAAGGGCUUAUAUUCAAGUGACAUACUUCUCCAGGGACUGAACUUUUAAUUCUCAUCAUGUUAUGAUUAACUGUCUUUGGAUAGAAACCUAGGACCAAAUUGAAGCAGGCAUGUGGGUCCAGGGAAC
rnacentral:lncRNA from 1 species